UACGUAGGGUGCGAGCGUUGCCCGGAAUUAUUGGGCGUAAAGGGCUCGUAGGCGGUCUGUCACGUCGGGAGUGAAAACUCAGGGCUUAACCCUGAGCCUGCUUCCGAUACGGGCAGACUAGAGGUAUGCAGGGGAGAACGGAAUUCCUGGUGUAGCGGUGAAAUGCGCAGAUAUCAGGAGGAACACCGGUGGCGAAGGCGGUUCUCUGGGCAUUACCUGACGCUGAGGAGCGAAAGUGUGGGGAGCGAACAGG
rnacentral:rRNA from 1 species